AGCUCUUGGACUCAGAAACGCGUAUAAUUUGCUUCAACUAUUAAUCUUGUUUUUCUUUUGUCUCCAUAGAGAUACGUCUUAUUAAAUACCUGGUUUCUAGUGCCACUUGGGCCUAACUUUCAGAGCCCGUCUCCAUCACCACCUCCUGAAAUGAAUUUAACUGGACUGACCUGUUGUCAGGAAUAAGAGACCAGUUCAAUGGGAUGGAAUAAGUUAUCAACUCAGCUUCUGGACUGUAAGCCUUUUGGAGCAGUUUCUAAAGUCCAGGUGGGACUGUAAGCAGUGCAAUUUGCCACCCCAAAAUGUGUCUCUUUGGCAAGAGGAUUAAUCUAGGUGGGUUAUUUUUAAGAAUCAGAAAUUUCCAGAAAGUUUUCUUGCUAUCUCUCCCUUGUCUUGUCUAAAAAAAUUAGAUAAUGGGUCUGUUCCCACAAUAGAGUGAUCACCAGAGAUAUCUGCAGAGAAUAUGGCUGGGUGUGGUAGGGGAACAAAGUCAACCCAUUAGUUCAUUCUUUGCUCCAUGGUGAUCUGCCUGGCCCAGCAAACAUUUGUUUACCAAACAUCUGCAUUCUCGUCUCCAGGUAAAUUGCCUUCUUCACCUCUGAAGUACCAAACCACUACCCCCCAAAUCCUCUUCUGUCUUUAGGUGAAGAUUAUUUUUAAGAUGCUAAAGCCUCCAGCAAAUGGAAGAAGUUAACUACUUGAAGACCUUGAGUGUGUAGCCUGAGGAUUGACAAUGUUAACCCCUGUGACCCUGUCUUAUUACCUCACCAUCAACUAAGCAGAGGAUUGUUCAUGGGCUGAUCACACAUCCUGAGCCUCCCCUCCUUCCCCCGGCCUUAAAAAUGUAUUCCUUGAAAUCCAUCAGGGAUUUUGAACUUAAACCAUCCUAUUCUCCUUGCACGGCCCUUGCAAUAAAUCCUUCUCUGCUCCAAACUCUAA